rnacentral:rRNA from 1 species
CCUACGGAAGGCUGCAGUGGGGAAUAUUGGACAAUGGGCGAAAGCCUGAUCCAGCCAUGCCGCGUGUGUGAAGAAGGCCUUCGGGUUGUAAAGCACUUUCAGUGGGGAAGAAAGCCUUGGGGCUAAUACCCUCGAGGAAGGACAUCACCCACAGAAGAAGCACCGGCUAACUCCGUGCCAGCAGCCGCGGUAAUACGGAGGGUGCGAGCGUUAAUCGGAAUUACUGGGCGUAAAGCGCGCGUAGGCGGUCUGAUAAGCCGGUUGUGAAAGCCCCGGGCUCAACCUGGGAACGGCAUCCGGAACUGUCAGGCUAGAGUGCAGGAGAGGAAGGUAGAAUUCCCGGUGUAGCGGUGAAAUGCGUAGAGAUCGGGAGGAAUACCAGUGGCGAAGGCGGCCUUCUGGACUGACACUGAAGCUGAGGUGCGAAAGCGUGGGUAGCAAACAGGAUUAGAUACCCCGGUAGUC